GCGCUGUCCGGAAUUAUUGGGCGUAAAGCGCGCGCGGGCGGUUCUUUAAGUCUGGUGUUUAAACCCGAGGCUCAACUUCGGGACGCACUGGAAACUGGGGAACUUGAGUGCAGAAGAGGAGAGUGGAAUUCCACGUGUAGCGGUGAAAUGCGUAGAUAUGUGAGGAACACCAGUGGCGAAGGCGACUCUCUGGGCUGUAACUGACGCUGAGGCGCGAAAGCGUGGG
rnacentral:rRNA from 1 species